UACAGAGGUCUCAAGCGUUGUUCGGAUUCAUUGGGCGUAAAGGGUGCGUAGGCGGCGCGGUAAGUCGGGUGUGAAAUCUUGGAGCUUAACUCCGAAACUGCAUUCGAUACUGCCUUGCUAGAGUACUGGAGAGGAGACUGGAAUUUACGGUGUAGCAGUGAAAUGCGUAGAUAUCGUAAGGAAGACCAGUGGCGAAGGCGAGUCUCUGGACAGUUACUGACGCUGAGGCACGAAGGCCAGGGGAGCAAACGGG
rnacentral:rRNA from 1 species